UGCCAGCAGCCGCGGUAAUACAGAGGGGGCAAGCGUUAUCCGGAAUUAUUGGGCGUAAAGUAUGCGUAGGCGGCUUUGUAAGUCAGAAGUGAAAUGCCAUGGCUCAACCAUGGAGCUGCUUUUGAAACUGCAUCGCUAGAGUUAGGUAGAGGAUAGUGGAAUUCCUAGUGUAGAGGUGGAAUUCGUAGAUAUUAGGAGGAACACCAGUGGCGAAGGCGACUAUCUGGGCCUAUACUAACGCUGAGGCACGAAAGUGUGGGGAGCAAACAGGAUUAGAUA
rnacentral:rRNA from 1 species